AACCAAGGCAAGCACGCAGGACCUUUUCAAGCUGCCCUCACAACAAACCACCCCAGGCACAUAUCCCCACUCAAACACUUCCUUAUGUGCUCCCUGGUUCAGGAUUAGCAAUCCCAGCAGUAUUCCAGCUUUGCACUGCUCACUCCUGCACAGACCUGUGCUCACUGCUGGGGUGGCUCUCUUCCACAACACACCUCAGCCAGUCCCUUGCAGGGCCACCUCUGUGACAUCCCAUCCCAAGAAGCAGCCUGCUCACAACUGAACUGCAAACCACAUCAUUCCAUUAUCUGCACCAGAACACAUGAAGAACUGUAGCUAACAAAAUAAAUAAAUGCCAGUCCCCAGUUUAGGAGUGCAGAAAGUUCAUUCAGCAUGGAUGUGGAAGUGACACAGAACAGAAGAGGAGCUGUAGCUGCUGCACAGCUGUGACAGGCCAUUUCCCAGGGAAAAGCUGGUAAUGUAACUUCCAUGCACACGGGAAAAUAGGCAUGUUUGCUCUGAGCCAAGGAAGCAGCCAGCCCCAGAGCCCACUGCCCUGGGCAGUGAAGCUCUCCUUGUCCUCUGAAGACACAGCACAGGCAGAGUCUCUGUUUCCCAAAGCCAGGGAAUCUCUGUCCCCAGGCACCAGCCAGCACUUGCCCCUUUUCCAGCCAAAACCACCACCAAGCAAAGUGUACCUUCAGUUCCUGAGCCAUUCCUCUUCAAAUGAUCAAACAUCCAUACUUGUCCUGAGGCUUUUGCAGAGGUUUCUCUCCUCCAAAGCUGAAGCAACGCAUCAGAACCAUUCCCUGAAUUCCUCCUUGCUUGCACACCUCUCCCCAGGUGUCCUUUAGACUGAAGGACUUCUAUCUUCUUCUGAAGAUAGCCCUUCAGACUACCUCAACUCCUCUGCUCAGCAUGGUCUAUCACCUUGUUACAAGUUCCAGGUGCUGCAAUGCUCACCUGGCUGAGCCUCCCUGUUGCUGCCACCUGUUUGCAAUUACCAGGGAUGAGCCAGGGACAUCACUGGUGGGCUACCCCCGCCCUGGCCUUGCUACCACCUGAAACCUGGGCCCUGACACAUCUCAGCUGCUUGCUCCUUUCCAAACCUCUUGAAGUCCUGACUGGGUUUCAACCUUGCAGCCCAGUUUCCUGGGGCCUGUACUCUAGGCAGACACUUACCUUGGUGUUUGUUAGGGAUUAGGAUUUUUCCUUUUGUUUCUUUCUCUCAUGGAAUUUUGUCCCAUUUGUUGCUAAGAAACAAUAACAAGCAGUAGGUAAGAGACCUAGGAAGGAGGAAAGGAGUGUACCUGGCUGCAUUUCUCUUCCGUGAGGGGUUUCUCUAGGAAUGCAGAGGAGGUGCGGGAUGUGUCUGGGGCAGUGGAUCGGGUGCAGCUCUCGCUCCAUCGCUCUCCGCCGUCCGAGCCGCUGUGUCCCUGUGGGGCAGCUCGGCAGCGCUGCGAGGCUCCGGCUCCUGCUGCCUUCUCCCUUCUGCCUGUGGGAGCGGCUGUGCCAUGGAGCCUCACCAAC